UCAAACUCACAAAAAGUCUCCCUGUCCUA
rnacentral:piRNA from 1 species